rnacentral:rRNA from 1 species
AACGAACGCUGGCGGCGUGGAUAAGACAUGCAAGUCGAACGGAAUUUAUAGCAAUAUAGAUUUAGUGGCGGACGGGUGCGUAACACGUGAAUCAUCUGCCCAAAAGAUCGGGAUAGCCCAUGGAAACGUGGAUUAAUACCGGAUGUGGCCGUAAGGCUAAAGGUGCUGCAAGGUGCCACUUUUGGAUGAGUUCGCGGCCUAUCAGCUAGUUGGUGAGGUAAAGGCUCACCAAGGCGACGACGGGUAGCUGGUCUGAGAGGAUGACCAGCCACACUGGAACUGAGACACGGUCCAGACACCUACGGGUGGCAGCAGUCGAGAAUCAUUCACAAUGGGCGAAAGCCUGAUGGUGUGACGCCGCGUGGAGGAUGAAGGUCUUCGGAUUGUAAACUCCUGUCAAGUGGGGGUAAGGCUAUGCGUUUAACUGACGUGUAGAUUGAUAGUACCACUAGAGGAAGGGACGGCUAACUCUGUGCCAGCAGCCGCGGUAAAAC